AUACGUAGGGAGCAAGCGUUAUCCGGAUUUAUUGGGUGUAAAGGGUGCGUAGACGGAGAGGCAAGUUAGUUGUGAAAUCCCUCGGCUUAACUGAGGAACUGCAACUAAAACUACUUCCCUUGAGUGCUGGAGAGGAAAGUGGAAUUCCUAGUGUAGCGGUGAAAUGCGUAGAUAUUAGGAGGAACACCAGUGGCGAAGGCGACUUUCUGGACAGUAACUGACGUUGAGGCACGAAAGUGUGGGGAGC
rnacentral:rRNA from 1 species